UACGUAGGGUGCAAGCGUUUGUCCGGAAUUAUUGGCGGUAAGAAGCUCGUAGGCGGUCUGUCGCGUCUGCUGUGAAAACUCAGGGCUUAACCCUGAGCUUGCAGUGGGUACGGGCAGACUAGAGUGCGGUAGGGGAGACUGGAAUUCCUGGUGUAGCGGUGAAAUGCGCAGAUAUCGGGAGGAACACCAGUGGCGAAGGCGGAACUCUGGGCCGGAACUGACGCUGAGGAGCGAAAGCGUGGGGAGCGAACAGG
rnacentral:rRNA from 1 species